rnacentral:SRP_RNA from 1 species
GCUGGGCCUAGUGGUGUGCGCCUGUAAUCCCAGCUACUCAGGAGGCUGAGGCAGGAGAAUCACUUGAACCCGGGAAGCAGAGGUUGCAGUGAGCUGAGAUCAUGCCACUGCACUCCAGCCUGGGCAACAAAGUGAGACUCUGUCUCAA